rnacentral:miRNA from 1 species
UAGAAGCUCCCCAUGUUCUC